rnacentral:rRNA from 1 species
GCUUGCUUAAAGGGGCCGUAGCCGGUUUGAAAAAUCCUUUGUGAAAUUGUUGAACUCAAUACAACAGCAUGCAGGGGACACUUUCAGACUAGAGACUGGGAGGAGUUGGGGGUAUGCCUUGGGGAACGGUUAAAUGUGAUAAUCCAAGGUAGACCACCUGUGGCGAAGGCGCCCAACUAGAACAGUUUUGACGGUGAGGGAUGAAAGCUAGGGGAGCGAUCCGGAUUAGAUACCCGAGUAGUCCUAGCUGUAAACACUGCGAGCUAGGUGCCGCAUAUUCUACGAGAAUAUGCGGUGUCGAAACGAAGGUGAUAAGCUCGCCGCCUGGGAAGUACGGUCGCAAGACUGAAACUUAAAGGAAUUGGCGGGGGAAUACACCAGGAGUGCGGCGUGCGGUUUAAUCUAACUCAACGCAGAACACCUUACUAGAAGCGACGGCAGGAUGAAGGUCAGUCUGAAGGGCUUAUCUGACGAGCCGAGAGGUAGUGCAUGGCCGCCGUCAGCUCGUGUCGUAAGAUGUCCUGUUAAGUCAGGCAACGAGCAAGACCUGUACCUAUAAUUGCAAACGGGCCCUUCGGGGUGACUGUGCACAUUAUAGGGACUGCCUUCGUAAGGAGGAGGAAGGUGCAGGCAACGGUAGGUCCGCAUGCCCCUAAAAGCCGAAUUCCAGCAACUUUGC